rnacentral:misc_RNA from 1 species
GAUGAAGAACGCAGCGAAAUGCGAUAAGUAAUGCGAAUUGCAGAAUUUCCGUGAGUCAUCGAAUCUUUGAACGCACAUUGCGCCUGCCAGCACUCUGGCAGGCAUGCCUGUUCGAGCGUCAUUUCAACCAUCAAGCCCUAGGCUUGCGUUGGAGCCCUGCGGCUGCCGCAGGCCCCUAAAAGCAGUGGCGGGCUCGCUAUCACACCGAGUGCAGUAGAUUACUCUUCGCUCAGGGCGUGUGGCGGGUUCCAGCCGUGAAACCCCCUACUUCUCAAGGUUGACCUCGGAUCAGGUAGGAAUACCCGCUGAACUUAAGCAUAUCAAUAAGCGGAGGA